rnacentral:tRNA from 1 species
GGAUUAGUAGUCAAGUGGUUACGACAUAGCUCUUUCGAUGCUACCACCAUGGGUUCAAAUCCCAUCUAGUCUAUCA